CUUCACCGAGCCGAGCCACAGGGGCCGGUCCUCGGCGCGUUCCUGGCCGUAGGUGGCCAGCAGUGCCUGGGCCUC
rfam:Streptomyces atratus strain OK807 genome assembly, contig: Ga0007934_1091